AGUGUCUAAGGUGCAAGGCAAAAACACCCUGCCCGCCCUCGGAAGCUCUAGAGCCCCCAGUCUCCAAUCCUGGACUCUUGGCCUGGCCUCGCCCUCUGCCUUCCCCUCAGGGCCCCUGGGAUGCAUCACCGGGCUGGUGUGUCUGCACCUCCGUCUUGGCCCCCUCGCUUUCGGAAUCCUGUUCCCAUCCUGUGGAGGCCGCCUGCCCACCUUGCCAGGCUGGACACCGACCUCGCAGUGUCCUCUUCCCCAGUCGAUUAAGUCUUCACGGUUAUGGAUACUCAUUUUGACCUCAGUUUGGCCAGAAGCAUCCCUUCAGGUUUGCUGCAGAGUUCCCUGACUGCAGCCCCGACUCCAGUGGACACAUUCAGUGCACAGCAUAGGGGGUCUGGUGCCUGCUGGGGUGAGAUGAACCUCGGACGGGAGCCACUGCAGCCCAGCAGCCCCUUGUCUACGCCUGCAUCUGCAGGGACCAUCAUCCUCCCACCGAGCCGCACGUGCUGACACGCAGCCCGAGGAGGAGGCCCUCAGGCGAGCUGGUCCUGGCUGCUGAGGGUCAUGCCUGGAGGUGACGCUGCACAACUUACACGGUGUCCUUCGCUUUGAAAAUCCGGAAUUGGAUAUUCCAAAGCGACUCUGGAAGCUCCGUCAGUCUCCUGAAUCCUUAAUAACGGGGGGUGUUCAGGUGGUGCAAAGCAGGGAGAACGCUGUCGUGCUUCCAGCGGGCACGGUGUCAUGGCCCCGGGGACUUGAGCAUGCUCCUGAGAAAGCUCAGGAAGGCGGGUGCAGGCCCCCGACGCCGCGUCACACCCCACGCUCACUCCCAGCACCGUUCACCCGUUACAGCUGCACCCGGACACUCAGCUCAGCUGCAAUAAAUAAAGUUCAGGAUAGUAAAAACGAGUGACUUGAAGGGGAAGCCUGCAGCAGGC
ensembl:lncRNA